AUGUCUCACAAUUCCAAGUUUAGAAUGUGCAAUUCUGAUUGUUUUCUCGGAAUCACGAUUUCAUUUAUAAACUUGGAAUUGUGAGAAAUAAUGUCAGAAUUGUGAAAUAAAUACAUAAUUGUCAGAUAAAAAGUAGUAAUUACCUUCUUUUUUUUUUUUGCUUUUUAAUUAUGUGGCAAAAAAACAAUCAAGCUUCAAUAACAAUCAGAUUCAAAACUGCACAAAAAAAACCCCUCAGUAAUAAAGAGAACAAACCAAAUAACAUAACAAAAAAUAUUUUUACUAAAACUGAACAUUUACAGAUUUAAUUUUCCCAGACAAGUCAUACAUUUUCCACACCGGCCUAAACACAAAGCUUUACACGCACACUCGCACACGUUUCGUUUGUUUGGAGCACAACAGCGUCAGAGCAGGUUCUGUCAGAUAGGCCAUGAUUUAGACGGGUUCACCACAUGCUUUUAAUGAACUCAAGAGUUUCACAGGAAGGAAAAGGUAAAAAAAAAAAAAUUCACAUCAUUUUGUCCCUGACCGAGAAGCAGCA